rnacentral:rRNA from 1 species
AACGAACGCUGGCGGCAUGCCUAACACAUGCAAGUCGAACGAGAUCUUCGGGUCUAGUGGCGCACGGGUGCGUAACGCGUGGGAAUCUGCCCUUUGGUUCGGAAUAACAGUUGGAAACGACUGCUAAUACCGGAUGAUGACGAAAGUCCAAAGAUUUAUCGCCAGAGGAUGAGCCCGCGUAGGAUUAGCUAGUUGGUGUGGUAAAGGCGCACCAAGGCGACGAGCCUUAGCUGGUCUGAGAGGAUGAUCAGCCACACUGGGACUGAGACACGGCCCAGACUCCUACGGUAGGCAGCAGUGGGAAAUAUUGGACAAUGGGCGAAAGCCUGAUCCAGCAAUGCCGCGUGAGUGAUGAAGGCCUUAGGGUUGUAAAGCGCUUUUACCCGGGAUGAUAAUGACAGUACCGGGAGAAUAAGCUCCGGCUAACUCCGUGCCAGCCGCCGCGGUAA